GCCCGUUUAGCUCAGUGGUAGAGCGCGCCACUCGUAUAUUUAUGAGCUUAUGGUGAGGUCAAUCGUUCAAUCCGGUUAGUGGGCA
rfam:Termitomyces sp. J132 unplaced genomic scaffold scaffold119, whole genome shotgun sequence.